AAGCGGUGGAGCAUGUGGUUUAAUUCGAAGCAACGCGAAGUAACCUUACCAGGUCUUGACAUCCCUGACAACCCAAGAGAUUGGCGUCCCUUCGGGGGACAGGGUGACAGGUGGUGCAUGGUUGUCGUCAGCUCGUGUCGUGAGAUGUUGGGUUAAGUCCCGCAACGAGCGCAACCCUCGCCUCUAGUUGCCAGCAUUCGGUUGGGCACUCUAGAGGGACUGCCGGCGACAAGUCGGAGGAAGUGGGGAUGACGUCAAAUCAUCAUGCCCCUUAUGACCUGGGCUACACACGUGCUACAAUGGGCGGUACAAAGAGAUGCGAAGCGGUGACGUGGAGCGAACCUCAGAAAGUUGGUCUCAGUUCAGAUUGAAGUCUGCAACUCGACUUCAUGAAGGCGGAAUCGCUAGUAAUCGCGGGUCAGCAGACCGCGGUGAAUACGUUCCCGGGUUUU
rnacentral:rRNA from 1 species